GAUGAACGCUGGCGGCGUGCCUAAUACAUGCAAGUCGAGCGAACGGACGAGUAGCUUGCUUCUCUGAUGUUAGCGGCGGACGGGUGAGUAACACGUGGAUAACCUACCUAUAAGACUGGGAUAACUUCGGGAAACCGUAGCUAAUACCGGAUAAUAUUUUGAACCGCAUGGUUCAAAAGUGAAAGACGGUCUUGCUGUCACUUAUAGAUGGAUCCGCGCUGCAUUAGCUAGUUGGUAAGGUAACGGCUUACCAAGGCAACGAUGCAUAGCCGACCUGAGAGGGUGAUAGGCCACACUGGAACUGAGACACGGUCCAGACUCCUACGGGAGGCAGCAGUAGGGAAUCUUCCGCAAUGGGCGAAAGCCUGACGGAGCAACGCCGCGUGAGUGAUGAAGGUCUUCGGAUCGUAAAACUCUGUUAUUAGGGAAGAACAAAUGUGUAAGUAACUGUGCACAUCUUGACGGUACCUAAUCAGAAAGACACGGCUAACUACGUG
rnacentral:rRNA from 1 species